GCGUAUAAGUAACUCUUCUUGGACAUGCACUUUCCCCAUUCAAACUCUCUCUUCAAUAUAUUCUCUGCACAAAAUCAAAGUUCUCUCUCUUUUUGUAUACCAAGAAUUACUAUAGCCACCCUUUUAUAGUUUCUUGAUUUUCAUCAUCACUAAUUAAGUAAAAGAUGAAGAUGAGCAGCAGCAAUUUGGGAAGUUCAAAGAGGAAGCUAAUUUCAAGCAGAGGACUGGGAGGAGUUCUUAGGCAGCAAAGAGCAAGGGUUAACAUAAUCAAGAGAUGUGUGGUCAUGCUCCUUUUUUGGCAUGAUUGAAUUUAACUCCACACAACCCUUUCAACAUAAUUAGGUUAUAUGGGUUUGUCGGGUUUGUCUAUAGUCUUUUUUCUUCUUUUAUCUUCCCCCUUUCUUGAAAUUGUACAGACCAGUAGUUUAUAGUAUUAGCUAGUAAAAAGGAUUUUAGCAAUUUUGUACUAAAUUAAGGCCCUAGAGGUCUCUUUAUACAUCGGAUAGCUUCAAUCAACGAUAAUAUCCAUUUUGAUUAUGUUUUUUUUUUUUUAAUUCUAAUCUCUCUUUCGGACCCUUCAGCCUCUGUUUCAUUACUUUUCUUCUUCUUAUUUAUUUAUUUUAUGAUAAUUAUCUUGAAAGGUUAGCAGUCAAGUUUUUUCCUAGUCCACUUGACAUUUUCUGGAUAUGACCACUGGAGUACAUUCAGCAUGUUGGUCAAGUAUUUUAUUUAUUUGAUAACGAGAUUGUUGGAGUUGUUCCAGAGUUUGGAUUUUAAGUGCAUUUACUUUAGGUAAAAUUUUGUAAAAUUAUUCUAAUUCAGUUGUCGAAUCAACGGCAUCAGUGAUUUCAACGGCUCAGAUCAAAGUUUGGACAUGGUUUUCUUUUAGGAUGACAACUACUCCCUUCUGAUUAUCGCACUCUUGCACCUCCUUUAAGUUCCUUGAUAUGAAGUGUCUUUUAAAGUUCAAAAACAAUAUUAAUAAGAGUUUAAAAUUUAUGCAUUUAUGGAAUUUAUUGUAUUUAUAAAAUCUGAUCUUUUAUGAGGUAAACUAAAAUUAUAUAAAGCAUUAAUUGGUGGUGACUGUAGAGAGUUUUAGGAGAAGUAAUUUUCUCGUAUUGCUCACAAAAGUAUAUAUAGAGUACAGAAGUAUCAAAUCCUACCAACUAUAGGACUG
rnacentral:lncRNA from 1 species